rnacentral:rRNA from 1 species
GACGAACGCUGGCGGCGUGCUUAACACAUGCAAGUCGAACGGAAAGGCCCUGCUUUUGUGGGGUGCUCGAGUGGCGAACGGGUGAGUAACACGUGAGUAACCUGCCCUUGACUUUGGGUUAACUUCAGGAAACUGGGGCUAAUACCGGAUAGGAGCUCCUGCUGCAUGGUGGGGGUUGGAAAGUUUCGGCGGUUGGGGAUGGACUCGCGGCUUAUCAGCUUGUUGGUGGGGUAGUGGCUUACCAAGGCUUUGACGGGUAGCCGGCCUGAGAGGGUGACCGGCCACAUUGGGACUGAGAUACGGCCCAGACUCCUACGGGAGGCAGCAGUGGGGAAUAUUGCACAAUGGGCGGAAGCCUGAUGCAGCAACGCCGCGUGCGGGAUGACGGCCUUCGGGUUGUAAACCGCUUUCGCCUGUGACGAAGCGUGAGUGACGGUAAUGGGUAAAGAAGCACCGGCUAACUACGUGCCAGCAGCCGCGGUGAUACGUAGGGUGCGAGCGUUGUCCGGAUUUAUUGGGCGUAAAGGGCUCGUAGGUGGUUGAUCGCGUCGGAAGUGUAAUCUUGGGGCUUAACCCUGAGCGUGCUUUCGAUACGGGUUGACUUGAGGAAGGUAGGGGAGAAUGGAAUUCCUGGUGGAGCGGUGGAAUGCGCAGAUAUCAGGAGGAACACCAGUGGCGAAGGCGGUUCUCUGGGCCUUUCCUGACGCUGAGGAGCGAAAGCGUGGGGAGCGAACAGGCUUAGAUACCCUGGUAGUCCACGCUGUAAACGGUGGGUACUAGGUGUGGGGUCCAUUCCACGGGUUCCGUGCCGUAGCUAACGCUUUAAGUACCCCGCCUGGGGAGUACGGCCGCAAGGCUAAAACUCAAAGGAAUUGACGGGGCCCCGCACAAGCGGCGGAGCAUGCGGAUUAAUUCGAUGCAACGCGUAGAACCUUACCUGGGUUUGACAUGGAUCGGGAGUGCUCAGAGAUGGGUGUGCCUCUUUUGGGGUCGGUUCACAGGUGGUGCAUGGCUGUCGUCAGCUCGUGUCGUGAGAUGUUGGGUUAAGUCCCGCAACGAGCGCAACCCUUGUUCACUGUUGCCAGCACGUUAUGGUGGGGACUCAGUGGAGACCGCCGGGGUCAACUCGGAGGAAGGUGGGGAUGACGUCAAGUCAUCAUGCCCCUUAUGUCCAGGGCUUCACGCAUGCUACAAUGGCUGGUACAGAGAGUGGCGAGCCUGUGAGGGUGAGCGAAUCUCGGAAAGCCGGUCUCAGUUCGGAUUGGGGUCUGCAACUCGACCUCAUGAAGUCGGAGUCGCUAGUAAUCGCAGAUCAGCAACGCUGCGGUGAAUACGUUCCCGGGGCU